rnacentral:misc_RNA from 1 species
UUUAUGUGAAUUCUGUACAUAAAGGUAAAUCUCUUCUUUUAGUGAAUGUAAAGUUUGUAAACACUCUCUAUGUUUGAGGAAGGAAUGAAUGUAAAUUAGAAACCUAACUUGUUUUAGUGGAUCUGUCAGGCAUCUGAAAAGGACAAUUAGAUGAAUGUUGAUAUUAAAAGGACUCAUCUGUGGGAAGAUUUAGGAAUUUUAUGCGAAUUAAAGUCUUAAAUGUUUCAAAAAAUUAAUGUUUCCUUUAGUUAAAGAGAUUGACAAGAAGAAAAUGGGAUCAUAAAUAGCUUUCUCUUGGGCGAGCUUGGACCUUGAUGCUGACAGUGCAAUGGUCCUUUUGAUUAAUUGAUUAAUGGGUCAUAAAGUUUAAAAACUGACAAAUUGAUGGACAAAUGACUCCCCUGACUAACCUUCAUCAGG